AUCUGAACAUGUACAGCAUUGACAAUUGAUGGGACAUAUACAUGAUAUAUAUAUAGAAUAAUACAUGUCAAAAUCUGUAUCGCAUACUGUAUCACCACGAGAAACCAAUAUCAGUCCCGAGGGCCGAAGGUCCCCAGGGCUGAUAUUGGUCAAGAGGUGAUACAGCAUGGGAUACGGACUUUGCCAUGUAUUAUUCUGUUUAUCAUAUAUUUUA
rnacentral:lncRNA from 1 species